rnacentral:lncRNA from 1 species
GAGAAAUGUACCCAAUGACAUUCAUAAAGAAACCCCUGAAGCAACUUGGCAACGAGCCCCAGGGGCCUGAGGCCCAGAAGCCGCCACGCAAGGCCAGGUGCCACGUGUCAUACUCCACCUACGGUCACGAGUGAGCGUCUGGGCGCCCCGCUGACACACGGGGCUCCCAGAGCACCCCGAGGCUUCGUCCUGGCCCGCCGAGGAAAGAAGGCCUUCACAGCAACCUCGGCCUCCAGGGGGAGAUCGACCAUUCAUAAAGAAACCCCUGAAGCAACUUGGCAACGAGCCCCAGGGGCCUGAAGCCCAGAAGCCGCCACGCAAGGCCAGGUGCCACGUGUCAUACUCCACCUACGGUCACGAGUGAGCGUCUGGGCGCCCCGCUGACACACGGGGCUCCCAGAGCACCCCGAGGCUUCGUCCUGGCCCGCCGAGGAAAGAAGGCCUUCACAGCAACCUCGGCCUCCAGGGGGAGCUGGGCCAGUGGGCUCGGGGGCCUGUCAGGACUCGAGCAGGGGCGGGCAGGUGAGCACCCCAUGCUGCCCGGCGGGGUCCCGGAGGCCUCCUCCCAGUCUGCUGCCCGGCCCCUUCCCAGGCUGGGGGCCCUCGGCGCUACAGGGCCCCGACAACCAAGCUUUGUUGAAUGCUUGCACAGCAAGCCAGUGGGCGGCGACCCCUGAAUAAAGUGACCGUCAGUGGAUGGCGCCUCUGCUGCUCUGGUGAGAUGCCAGCUAGGCAGAGCUCUCUCUGUGGCGCUGGGGGCUGAUGAAACCAUCAAGAUGUCAGGCCAGGCCCAGCUACGGGAUGAUGCUAGUCCCCCCACGCUGCGGCCUCCAGAGUAUCUCUGAGGCUGCUUGGCAGGAACUGGUAGUGGGAAGUUUCCUGGAUGUGCCCAGAUGUGUGCGUCCAGAGCGGGGAGAGGGAGGGUGGAUGGCAGGAGGACCUGGGCCGGGGGCAGGAUGGGCACUCUCCAGCCGUGGGCCACCCCACCAGGUGGGACCCGUGUGCAAGCCCACCCUCACCUCCCCAACGGUCCCAGCGUGCCAGGCACGCCCAAGCACACACCUGCUGCCAGGCGGGGCACAGCAAGAUCACUGCAGUGACGCGCGGCCUCCAGCCUUUUAUUCACACGAGGGCUCGAAGCACACAGGUCGCCUGCGGGCGCCGUGCGGCCCAAGACACGGCCGGCCCGGCCGCUGACCACACAGGGCCGCCCCGUCCAGAGACGGAGGGAGGGCGGGCCGAGGGCGGGCCGGNNNGGCGCGUCUGGGCACGGUGUGGGCCUGGGGUCAGAAGGAGCUGUGGGGCCUCGGUCAAGACCACUGAGAACGCCCAGACGUUGGCAGCAGCGGGGGUCCUCCCGGGGGCAGCCAAGCAACCACACAGGAGACGAGCCGUGGACGCUCAGCUGCAGGGGGCCUUCUGCCCCGCACCUGCCGACUCGGGGCCUCCCUCCCAGCCCGCAUCCUGGCAGAGGCCCCCCGGCACCCCGCCCACCUUCUUGGGACGCUUUCAUUUCUUAUACAUCCCACACCACUCGGGUCACUGACUCACCCAAGUGCUGUUAGCUGCUAAUUAAUCAAAUCUUUGAUGAGCUGUAUUUCUUACCUUAAUUAAAAUAAUGAUGAUUAAUGGAGUGGGGGGCAUCUAGCUCUGCAGUUAUCCCGGACAGUUCUACGGAGCUCACGCCCAGUUCUGGGGCAAGCCCAGGCUGAGUGGGCAGUCAGGGUCCAGCUGACCUAGAAUUUCUGGUCACCCACUGCUCACUGCUCCCAGAGCCAUCCCACCAUCCUGGGGCGGUGGGGGGGGGGGGGC